UGAUGGGCUUGAUCCAAAGCUCAUUUAAGUCAAUGGGAGACUUUCCAUUGACUUCAGUGUGCUUUGGAUUAAGCACCCGUGUACA
rnacentral:pre_miRNA from 1 species